CGUAUGGUGCAAGCGUUUAUCCGGAUUUACUGGGUGUAAAGGGAGCGCAGGCGGUGCGGCAAGUCUGAUGUGAAAGCCCGGGGCUCAACCCCGGUACUGCAUUGGAAACUGUCGUACUAGAGUGUCGGAGGGGUAAGCGGAAUUCCUAGUGUAGCGGUGAAAUGCGUAGAUAUUAGGAGGAACACCAGUGGCGAAGGCGGCUUACUGGACGAUAACUGACGCUGAGGCUCGAAAGCGUGGGGAGCAA
rnacentral:rRNA from 1 species